UUUUUCAAAUGUCUUCGUAAUCCAGUUAAAAAUUGCUAUUCUUUUGGAAGAUUUGGAUUUAAUUCUGUUAUUUUGUUUGUCAUUUUAUUGUUGUAAACAGUGGACAGGAAGUGACGUGUGGAGGAAAUGCUGGAGAGAAAGAGAGAAAAAAGCUGACUCAGUGCAGGUACGAGUUGUUUGAAGAGAAGGAAAAGUUAAAGGUGGACAUUUAUUAACAUUGUUCAACGUGUUCAACAAGGACUGUUGACAGUCCAAUAGUGAUAGUGUGUCCUUUGAGUGGACUACUCAAAUCACGCUGUAACGUGGUGGAGUUAGCCGCUAAUACAGAGGCUAAGUGGAUGCAUGGAACUUUCCUAGGACGCUAGCCCCAGCUAGCGAGGCCUGUGUUGGACCACGUGGAAGAAGACGAGGACGCUAGCGACGAGCAAACGCGAGCGAGACCUGCAUCGGAGUACUCGGACAAAGCUUCACAACGGAUCGGACUGUCAGCACUUGGAUGAGGCUGGUCCAUUGGAUACAACCCUUGACGUUCAUCACUCCUGCCGCUUGAAACGAAGACAUUGGGGUGACUACAUGGAGAGCUGCCCUGUCAUAAAUUGUGUGUGAGGAUGAUGACAGGGCCGGAGCCAAUCUUCAUGAAAGAAUAAAAAAAAAAAAAAAGGCCUGGUGAUGAAUCGAGUGCUGCAGUCGCCCAUGCUGUCAAGUCAGAGAAGAGCUGAAACAGAUUGAGAAGGGGCAGACAGCUGAUGAAUGUUGAUGACAUCUUAUCACUCCUCAACAAAAAAGAAAAAGAGAACGGCCCAGUCACAUGAAUUGAAAUGUUAGUAAUGUAAGAGUUUUGAAUACCGCAGGUCAUGUACCGGCUCGCCUUGUGCGCCACGGACUCCGGUUCCCUCGCACAUCGGCAACCAGUCCUGGGUUUACCCCGCCUUUCACCCUAAGUCAGCGUAAAAAGAUUCCAGCUCACUACGACCCAAAAUGAUGACAUUCUGAAAAAAAAAAAAUGGAUGUCACUUUUCAUGACACAUGACAAGGGUACAAGGCAAAGGUGAGUCACGUCACAGGCGGACCUCACGUAUGUCAUAUUUGGCUUUCUUAUCUGUCAUACUAGUGGAAGAAAUAGUUAACCAUGAAGGAAAGCUGAUCUUUCAAUAUCAAGCUUGCGUGGAUUGUGCCAAGUCUCACUUUCUACGUCGAUAUCUUAUGUGAUGCCUUUUAUGACUAUUUGAAUCUAUUUGACAAGCGGUAAUCAUGCACAUCAUGAAGGUGCAAAUAAGAGAAGCACUUUUAACAGCAAUUAUGACUUUGGAACAGUAUUCAGUUGUCGUUGCUUACUCCAGGAUGUAUCUUUAUCAGUGCAUUCAUGCAACUUAGUUCUUGGAACCUGAAGAAGUCUUUUCUGCCUGGCUCCACAAUGAUUUUUGUGAAAACGAGAGAGGUGCCAAUGGUCCAUGGUAGUUCCUGGUGUCUGUUCUCACCCUUCUUUUGCUCACCCCUCUUCCGGCGAUGACCACAUCCCCACUGUAAUGCACCUGCACGUGAAGGACACUACGACCGGCGGGGCUAUCACAGACACAAUCCCGCAGCACUUUAAUAACUUUGAGAGCGGUCAGCACCCUGUGCUUUAAUAACACUCCCUGUCAGCUCACCCCACACGCCGCAAAAUUGUCUCGUUGGAAUUCUUUAUGGUGGGGGCCACAGAACUCCGGUGAUGGGCCUGGAAUACGGCUGCGAUCGCCUCCCUUCUUCCUUCUAAAUGGUUUUUCAAGAGCGUGUUUUUAUCGGCGGCUCAAAACAAACAUAAGAGACGACAGACGCUGGCAUCAUGACACAGCAAUAAGCUUUGAAAACGAGCGCUGUUGACUUUGUAGAAAAAGAUAUCUAGAAAUGCUUUCUGUGAAUCUGAAGUUCACUCAUUCAUAAGAUAAAAAUGUCUUAGAUUGGAGGGCAUUUGAAAGCUCGCAUCACCGAUUUCACUCUCUUCAAGAAUAUUUGAACGUAAUUGGUGGGCUACAUAAAUCUCUUGAAGGCUCAGAAAGGCAUCAGAAAUUUCCAAAAUAAAGUUACGAAUAAACUGUGAACUCCUUUGAACGAUUAGAUCCCCCGAUCGGUUCGCACGUUUGUUUAAUUGGCUCGGAGAGUGCUGUGUAAGAUGGAUUGUUUGGAUUUAUGUUCUCGCCACCAUUUAGCUUACCAUUAUGCAAAUGUGCGAUUAUCUGUUAAGAGAGAUUACAGGCAGUCGCAUCACAAAUGCGGCAUGUUUGUUUCCAGUAUCCAUAUGAAAGGAAAACUCAAGCUGAGCAAAUGAAGUGUAAAUCACUGUGUGCUGCACACAGUAGCUGGCUGUGUUUCCCCAACUAAUGAUGGGCUGCUUCUGUGUUCUCUUCUGUGCUUUUUGUUUUUUAUUUUUUGCAAUGCAUUUGAGAUUAUAGCCUCUCCCGCAGCACUGGAGCUGCAAUCCUGCUUGUCCCUGCCCAGUCCUACUGAUUAACAUAAUCAGCCAACAUUAGUUAUUCAUGUGAUGUGCAGAAGCGCUCGGGGGUCAAAUCUUUGCCCUGUCUAAUAACCUAUGUUAAAUA